GGGAGUAUCAAUAUCUGAAUCCAUGCCCCUGUCUUUCUGGAAAAAAGAAUAAUUAUGGUAGCGAAGCCGUGAACAACUUUCUUUUUUCGAAAAGGGGAGCUUUCCGGCCUCUGCACACAGCCAGCCGUGAACAACUGGCCAUAAAAUACCCUGAGCGAAGAAGCUCUGGGGGGAGAGCAUGUUCUCAUCGUCCAACCAGCGGAUUUUCUCUCCCUAAAAAAAACAGAGGAUUUUCUCUGAAGUUUAAACGCGCAAACGCUGGGAAGAAGAAGAAAGAGAUCGAGAUGGCAUCCGGAAUGUCCGAAUCAUUCUCUUUCGCAAAUGUGAGAGCAGACGUCCCCUUCGCUCGAUCCAGGGCUCGAGCAACGUCGCCCUCCGUCGAUCUCCGGCGACGUAGUUCUGUGUGGCCUAAGCAAAGCCGUGGGGGACACCUGUCCGGCGGCCAUUCACCACUGCGCAGAUGUCGACGAGGCGCCCGAAGUCGACCGGGGCGGGGACGAGUUGUCGCAUGCACGGCCACGUACGAUGCAUCCGGACACCGACCGGCCUGCUCUUGGUUUCCCGAUUUUACUAAAUCCUGUCUAAAAUGCAGCCGAAAGGUGAAGUCUCUGACAAAUUUUAGGGGGAAAUGCAGAGGCAAGGAGAAGUUAACCAUAAUAAAGUACGGUGAGAAUAUCUUUCUCUUUUCUCCCCCCCAGACCUUUCCUGAUGUCUAUUGCUGAAAAUGCAGGUACCCAUCACGCAUUGAUUUACUCUUGUCAUGGACUAAAACAACAGUUUUGCUUCUCAAUCACGUACACUUGUCUCACGUCAGACACUGAUCUUUUAUUUCUUAAUUUUCUAAGUAAUAAUGGGUCGAUAGAGUUUGAUA